AUGGUACCUGUGACAAAAAAUCACCUGAUUUUUUUAUUUUAUUUUAACCUUUCGCCGCCUGAAGGAAGGACCAUUCCCACAGUAGGCGGUGGAUUCAUCAGAGUACUCAAACAGAAAUCAAGACAUGUCCUGAACUCAAGAUUCACCAGGAUCCACCUGCAGUCCACAGCGACUCUGGUGAAGUCUGUGCAAAGCUAUCAGAGCUUCUGGAUGAGUUCCACCACAAAGAGGGACUAAAUGUGGAGGAAGUGAAAAGGGAGGACAACGAGGAAGGUGACGUUGAUUAAAUGCACACCGCAAGCGUUGGGGCUGCAGACUUCCCCAACAUCGCAGGCACAACCAACAGUGGGAUUACUCCACCUAGGAAGCGGUUGAAGUCUCCUGUGUGGGAAUGCUAAAGGAGAAAUCCAGGACCACGGGACCUCAGCGACGUUAGCAGUGAGUUCUGUAUUCGACAGACAUUCACACUCAUUAAACAAAAACCUAGAAACUUUAUUUACUACUAAUUUACUUACUAACUUUAUUAUUUAUGACUUUCACGAGUCUGAAAGUGCAUGAUUUACAUGGAUGUUACAAGCUGAAAGGCACUAUAAUCGAUGUAAAUUAAAUCAUCUCCUGUCGUUCCAUUUGGAACUUUUAUUUUGAAGCCCUGCACAACCGUCAAAAGCACAGCGAGUGCCUUAAAUCAGAAGAAUCACUUCGCAUUUUCACAUUUUAUUGACUGCAACAACUGAAAACCCAACCACAGGCAUACAUGACUUGGUGAAAGUGAAGAUUUCUAGGUUUUUGUUUAAUGAGUCUGAAUGUGUAUGAGUAUGAACUCACCGCUAACUUGCACAAAAAACAUUGCGUCCAACGCUCGCUCGUAUCAUUCCAGACAGAUCAUUCGUUCCUGGUCUUCCAUCAGAAACGGCUUCACUAUCGUUGUAACCACGUAUCUGUAAUUGUCAUGGCCGCCGUCCCACCGCCUGGCCCCCAGGGGGCAGACGACAACGACCGCGAUCCGUAAACGAAGGAGAAUGGGGUUCAACAUAAAACCGGGCAGCCAUCUCCGCCCGCCCUUUGAGAUCGUUUCUUUGAUGCUGGCCUUCCUGAUCUUUGACCUCUUGCCCGAAUAACCUGCCUGCUCCCUUCGACCUCCCAAAUCGACCCCUCACCCUGCCCCCACAGCCCUGUAUAUCCCCCUCGACCCAGGACAAUAAGCGCGUGGAGACGGUGCUUUGCUCAGUGUCGCCUUGGCGGAUCGGGAUUCGAACCGGCAACCUUCUGAUUACGGGGCCGCUUC
rnacentral:lncRNA from 1 species